ACUGGUGUCUUCACUGCAAUAAAAAGUACUCCAAUCCAUCCCGAACUUGGAUGUUAAAGAUUGCAGAGUCGACAAUACUGAGGGGGAAGCUCCUCGGAAAAAUAGGCUGAUGCCAGG
rnacentral:rRNA from 1 species